rnacentral:rRNA from 1 species
GACGAACCGUACGAACGUUAUUCGGAAUCACUGGGCUUAAAGCGUGUGUAGGCGGGCGGGCAAGUACCUUGUGAAAUCCCACGGCUCAACCGUGGAACGGCUGGGUAUACUGCCUGUCUUGAGCCAGCUAGGGGCGACCGGAACAGACGGUGGAGCGGUGAAAUGCGUAGAUAUCGUCUGGAACGCCAAAGGUGAAAACAGGUCGCUGGGGGCUGAGCUGACGCUGAGACACGAAAGCCAGGGGAGCGAACGGG